GUGCCAGCCGCCGCGGUAAGACGUAGGAGGCGAGCGUUAUCCGGAUUCACUGGGCGUAAAGCGCAUGUAGGCGGUUCGCUAAGUCAUGUGUUAAAGCCCCUGGCUCAACUGGGGGAGGUCAUGUGAGACUAUCGGACUUGAGGGCAGUAGAGGCACGUGGAACUCCCGGUGUAGCGGUGGAAUGCGUAGAGAUCGGGAAGAACACCCGUGGCGAAGGCGACGUGCUGGGCUGCACCUGACGCUGAGAUGCGAAAGUGUGGGGAGCAAACGGGAUUAGAUACCCUAGUAGUCC
rnacentral:rRNA from 1 species